GCUGUGCCUGCGCGGGGUACGGGACCGGGCGCCGGAGCCGUCCGGGACGGCGGCCACGGAGGCACCCGGCGGUUCGGCUCUCACGCGCAGCC
rnacentral:tRNA from 1 species